rnacentral:rRNA from 1 species
UACGUAGGGGGCAAGCGUUGUCCGGAUUUAUUGGGCGUAAAGCGCGUGUAGGUGGCCAUGUAGGUCCGCUGUGAAAACUUGAGGCUCAACCUCAUAAAAGCAGUGGAAACUACACAGCUAGAGUGCGGUAGGGGCAGAGGGAAUUCCUGGUGUAGCGGUGAAAUGCGUAGAGAUCAGGAAGAACACCGGUGGCGAAAGCGCUCUGCUAGGCCGCAACUGACACUGAGGGACGAAAGCUAGGGGAGCGAAUGGG